UUUGCAUACAUUAAUCCCCAUCCCUUUCCACUAGCCAUCCCCAAUAUUUAUUACAAAUUAUUACAGAUCCGAAUAAAUUCGAAAAAAAAGAGUAAAAUUACUACUUCCAGGUCAGAUUUCCAAAAGUCCUUUCUCAUAUUUGGGAUGUGUAAAAGUUCCCAAGAUCAUCAAAGGGGCUCAGGGCAAUGCUUACACCCCAAACACAUUAUAGAAUUUGAUUACACUGCAGUGUGGAAGAGUUGUUGAGACCCCUUUUUUCCAUUCAGAAGGAGAGCCCAGAAAUCAGGCAUUCAACAUUAUGGGAGGACAACUCUUUAUUUUCUUGCGAGAAUUGGGUUUUGGAUAUGGAGUGUCACCACCUAAUGAUUAUAGUACAUUAGAACACUUUAGAGAGAUGAAGAGUUUUGAAAAGAAGGUAAACCAGAGUUCGGGUAAGGGCUAAGAGAAUAUCUCGAUGGGAAAGUGUUAGGCAUCCCUCAAGAUCCACUGGUGUGAUUCCAGGCAAUGCCAUAAUAGUGACUUUAAGAAGAUAGAAGAAGAAAUAAAGUAUGGAUUACAAAUAAGUUUAAAGCCUAAAAAGAAUAAGAAGAUAGGAAUGGACAAUUUUAGAAAAAUGAGUAAAUUUAAAGAAACAGAAUUAAAGAAGACAUUGCAAAUAAAAGAAAAGGAAAGGGGAUCCUAGGUAUAUAUGAAAUAUGAAUUACAUCAAUGCAAUAUCCAGCAAUCACUCGUCUAAAGAGGGAUCGCACAAGAUAUUAGCACACUGAUCAUCAUAUCUGUUUUCUACCCUUCCCACCCCAUAAAGGUAUUUAGAUGUGCUUAGUCUCGUUUACUUAUUGCAUGCUAGUACCCAUCCCAUCCUAUCAGUCCCGGGGUAUCAGGACUUCUAAUCCUAAAGGGGAAAGAGAGGGAUGUGGGAAUAUAUGGAGUUCAAAGGUUAAUAUCCUAAUUACGACAUCCAAAACAAGUAGUAAAUACAGGGAUGAACAAAGCAGAUAAGUAAGGCUCAAUUUAAGCCCUUAAUCAAACAACACUUAGUUUAGCAUGUCUUAGCAUGUACUGUUUGGUCGUUAAAUUAAACUUAAUCCCAAAAUUGACUGGUUUAACAUAUAUAUUAA
rnacentral:lncRNA from 1 species